AAUCAUCAAACUAUAAUAAUGAGUUAGGAUCCGCAGACAUCGAGCAAAUUAAAUUUAUGUAAUCGUUGAAUCAUUUUAUAAUAAUAGAUAUUUACUAUGUUUUAUAUUAUAUGCUAAAAUAAGAUGAUGUGAUGGAAUGUCAUGUAUUCUAUGAAUUUUUAUAGGUUCAAUCCACUUAAUGUGAAUUUUCAAUCCAGCGGUUGGAUUAAUUUAGUUUGCCUUCUAGAAAUAGCUAGUGAAGGUUUAAGUAUGUUAAGUUUGAAACAUAAUAA
rnacentral:lncRNA from 1 species